rnacentral:rRNA from 1 species
UCCCAGACUCCUACGGGAGGCAGCAGUGGGGAAUAUUGCACAAUGGGGGAAACCCUGAUGCAGCGACGCCGCGUGAGUGAAGAAGUAUUUCGGUAUGUAAAGCUCUAUCAGCAGGGAAGAAAAUGACGGUACCUGUUUAAGAAGCCCCGGCUAACUACGUGCCAGCAGCCGCGGUAAUACGUAGGGGGCAAGCGUUAUCCGGAUUUACUGGGUGUAAAGGGAGCGUAGACGGCCAUGCAAGUCUGAUGUGAAAACCCGGGGCUCAACCCCGGGACUGCAUUGGAAACUGUGCGGCUGGAGUGUCGGAGAGGCAAGUGGAAUUCCUAGUGUAGCGGUGAAAUGCGUAGAUAUUAGGAGGAACACCAGUGGCGAAGGCGGCUUACUGGACUGUAACUGACGUUGAGGCUCGAAAGCGUGGGGAGCAAACAGGAUUAGAUACCCGAGUA